ensembl:lncRNA
AUGUCAGUUUUCUCUCUCACAAUAUCAUCUUCCUGCCAGGACCUCAUGUUCUCCCUUUCUCAGUACAUUUACUCCUCCUUCCUUCUCAGGUUUUUAACUCAUAUCAUAUAUGGCUGGUGCGGCGCAGUCCUACUGCUCUUCCUCCACUUCCUGCUGAUCCCGUCUUUCAUCUCCCAGAUACUCCGCAGCGGCAAGGGGAGUGGGUUCCCAGCACUAGGCCAGCGCUGUGCUCCAUAUACAUUUAAGACGUGUGGCACUCUUCUACAUGCCCGGGAGAAAUUGGAUAAUGAGUGUGAGAUCCAAUCAACUUCGGGGGCAUCCAUUCAAUUUUCUGCCUGGCUGCCACCAGGAGAUGGUAAUGUGUGCUGAUACACUGACUGGGGCCAGGCUCAGAAGUCCUGAUUGAAAACAUCUGUCCAUUCCUCUCUUUCGCUCACACACACACACACACACACACACACCACCUCUGCUGGCUCUGCAGAGCAGAUUCUCUCCAUCUAUUUGUGCUUAUUUCAGAGUUCCAGAGUAGGCAGCGUGAAAUGUGAUGCAUUAGAAGAUUUUAGCACUUUUUUUUUUAGGUUUUUCUGAUAAAAAUGUGAACUUAAUUAACAUGUGCCCUGUUUAAACACACUUAUAUAACUAAAGCCAAGUUAAAUACAUUAUACAUGCUGUAUAUGUGUGUGUGUGUGUGUGUGUAUGUGUAAAACUCAAAUAAACUCUGCUAUCUGCCAGACUAAUUACAUAAAAUACUGCGACCUAAAGCAAGACCUACAUUUUCCUACAUUAUAUAUUAUAAUCACCCGUCACCCUCGUGCCAGUGUCCUGCUCUUCUAUGCAGUGACAACAUGAAAGUGUAUGUGUGUGUGGCUUUCAUCAGAACACCUGUGGAGGAGACGAUAUUAAAGAACACACAUGUUUGCCUAACCUUCCUCAGAUAAGCAUCAGCCAGAGCAUUUAGUGCCAGGCAGCACUACACACACGCACGAACACGCACACACACACACACACACACACACACACACACACACACACACACACACACACACACACACACACACACACACACAUUUGAAGGUCACAAUCACACUGUAACAAGGAGCUAAUAAAGACAAGAGGUUUUUCCCCUUCUUUAUCUGUCUCAACUUCUCUGUAUAACAAUUAAAUGUCACAAUUAUACAGGACUGUGAUGUAUCUAGUCCCAAAGCAUUUAUUAAAAAAAGAAAGAUAGAUCAGCAAAAUAUUUUCACCAGUAAUGAGCUCAGUGCCCUUUCUGACAAGGUCAGGGACACAAUUAAUAGAUUUUGCUUGUUUAAAUGAACAUUUUAAGAACCUGUGCCAGCUUUGGGGCAGCUUCUGCCUAAUCUGAGACCAAAUCGAGCCUCGAAAACAUCAUUUGGGGGGUCCGGGGUCCCUGUUUUACGCUCACCGUUUUAUGUAAUAAUAAUAGUUACUGCGGCAAUAAUAAAGAUUUUACAGAAAAGCAGCCAUAAAUCUGCCAAUCGCGUCCCCUGUCUGGUCACCAUAAAUCGUGGUCAUUACAACUUAAUGACGUCGCCCGCGCGCUCCUCUAAUUAAUACGCGGCCCGCGGGCUAUAAUUAACGCCCUGGAAAGAACAGAAUGCGAGGGGAUUAGGGCGGCCGCUAAUAUGCGGUCACAAAGGGACAGUGAGGGCUGGACAUUCCUGCGCUGCUGCGCGCUAAUCCUCCGGGGAGACCCCUCGCCCGGAUCCCCGGGGGUCCGGAGGGCGCAUUGUCCGCGGAAAAUCCCCCAGAAAAUCAACUUAUUUACGGCAGAUUAUUAGGCGGCGACUGUAAAACGAGCCCCUAACCAGACGAGGACAGAUUUACGACUCGCAACAAGCCCCGCGUUUAUCUCUGGCCGCGCACUUCAUGCCGACCACGUUUUAACCUGCACAAAUUAAGUGGCGUAAUAAAUUAGCAAUAACCUGUUAUGUCGUGUUUAGUACUAUAUAUUCGUGCUUUUGCUUUAUUUGAUUAUUUGUCGCCGGCCGCCCCGCGGCGAGUCCCCGCUGCUCCGCGCGUUUUGUUUGCGACCUUUCCAGGUUGAUUGUGUUUGUUAAUUAGUCGCUAACAGCGCAGUAAUGCGGGGUUGAUGGAUGGCCAUGUCGCCGGGACUCGGCGCGUUGCCUUGUGGCGGGUCGCAGAUCGGCUCGGCCGCGGCUCCCCCCCAGUUAUAGAGAAAGAAAUCAUUCAAUCCGUCAAUCCGUAACGCAAUUAAAAGGCGAGUGUAAUAAAGACGGCGUCCAUCAUGGUUCAUUAGGACGGCGACCCCGGCGUGACCUCGCAAAUCAGAGUCCUCCAGAGAAAGAUUUAUUUCGGGCUCCGGUGCUGCGGGGAUCAUUUGAGGCUCGCACCAGAUCCCAGGCCGGAAUGCCUUAUCUCGGCCGAGUUAAACGGCGCUUCGGCAGUGUCCUGUUAUUCUUCCAGCCUCCUGCCCCUUUCCCGAGCUUCGCGAUGUCUGUUUUUCAUUUCAACUUUUACUUCCACGACCCCAGAGACAUAAUUAUACACAUUUUCCUUUCCAGAGCCCGGCUGAAGCUGAGCCAGGAGAAGGCGCCAUUUCUGUUUAUUUGCUAUCGCUAAUUAGCUAAUGCUAAUCUUUUUUUCUAUAAAAAUAAACCUUACGUUGUUACUCACAUCAACGUUUUUUUUACGCUAUGUUCAUUAAUUAUGCAGACUAGUAACAAUUUGGCGUUACCUAAGCGGUGAUAAAGUAAUUUAAUGAGACACAGUUAUAAGCACAGAUACUAAUGUGCUAUUAAUUAUUAGUCUUCAACGCAACACGUUCGCUGACAGUCAUUCUUUCAGCAGCUGGCGCGUGCCAUUACAGUCUGCCCAGUGAUUGGGCCACAUCGUGGCACGUGACUCGAGGGCAUUUCGUCGUGGGACAUGUAGUUUCCCUCUCCGCUCAGUUCUGCGCAGUCUUGCGACGAAGAACUACAGCCCUCACAGCUGGCGCGAGCGAGGCGAGCUGUCAAUCACGGCGACGUCGGAGGCGCGCGGUGCGGGUGCGCGCACGGCCAGCGGGGUCUGCAGGCGGACGGCAAGUGUCACCAUGAUCGACCUUAUAUGGAAGCGGCAUAUAUCAUAACUGCAGGAUGGUGGCGACGACGGCGAUGAGGACGCGAGCGCAGGGCGUCUGAAGCUGGGCUGCACCGGAUCGCCGCGAGCGGCGCCGCCGUGUGCCGGGCUGCUUGGCGGAGGCUGGAGGAGGAGAAGCAGAUACUUUCUGU